rnacentral:rRNA from 1 species
GAUGAACGCUGGCGGCGUGCCUAAUACAUGCAAGUCGAGCGAACAGAUGAGGAGCUUGCUCCUCUGCCGUUAGCGGCGGACGGGUGAGUAACACGUGGAUAACCUACCUAUAAGACUGGGAUAACUUCGGGAAACCGGAGCCAAUACCGGAUAAUAUGUUGAACCGCAUGGAUCAAUAGUUCUAGAGGGUUUUGCUGUCACUAAUAGAUGGAUCCGCGCCGGAUUAGCUAGUUGGUAAGGUAACGGCUUACCAAGGCGACGAUGCGUAGCCGAUCUGAGAGGAUGAUCAGCCACACUGGAACUGAGACACGGUCCAGACUCCUACGGGAGGCAGCAGUGGGGAAUAUUGCGCAAUGGGCGAAAGCCUGACCGAGCAACGCCGCGUGAGUGAUGAAGGUCUUCGGAUCGUAAAGCUCUGUUAUUAGGGAAGAACAGAUGUGGAAGAAACCAUGGACGUUUUGACGGUACCUAAACAGAAAGCCACGGCUAACUACGUG